UGGGGAAUUUUGGACAAUGGGCGAAAGCCUGAUCCAGCAAUGCCGCGUGUGUGAAGAAGGCCUUCGGGUUGUAAAGCACUUUUGUCCGGAAAGAAAUCCUUGGCUCUAAUACAGUCGGGGGGAUGACGGUACCGGAAGAAUAAGCACCGGCUAACUACGUGCCAGCAGCCGCGGUAAUACGUAGGGUGCAAGCGUUAAUCGGAAUUACUGGGCGUAAAGCGUGCGCAGGCGGUUUUGCUAAGACCGAUGUGAAAUCCCCGGGCUCAACCUGGGAACUGCAUUGGUGACUGGCAGGCUAGAGUAUGGCAGAGGGGGGUAGGAAUUCCACGUGUAGCAGUGAAAUGCGUAGAGAUGUGGAGGAAUACCGAUGGCGAAGGCAGCCCCCUGGGCCAAU
rnacentral:rRNA from 1 species